GCAUCGGUGGUUUAGUGGUAAAAUUAGCCGUUGCCAUCCAGUCUCGGCUAGCCCCGGGUUCGAUUCCCGGCCGAUGCA